CCGUUUAAUCUCACGGUAGAGCAGAGGAUUGAAAAUCCUCGUGUCACCAGUUCAAAUCUGGUUCCUGGAGGAG